rnacentral:rRNA from 1 species
UACGUAGGCAGCAAGCGUUGUUCGGAGUUACUGGGCGUAAAGGGUGUGUAGGCGGUUGUUUAAGUUUGGGGUGAAAUCUCCCGGCUCAACUGGGAGGGUGCGCCGAAUACUGAAUGACUUCGAGUACGGGAGAGGAAAGUGGAAUUCCUGGUGUAGCGGUGAAAUGCGUAGAUAUCAGGAGGAACACCGGUGGUGUAGACGGCUUUCUGGACCGUAACUGACGCUGAGACACGAAAGCGUGGGUAGCAAACAGG